GUGAACGCUGGCGGCGUGCCUAAUACAUGCAAGUAGCACGCUGAAGGAAGGAGCUUGCUCUUUCCGGAUGAGUUGCGAACGGGUGAGUAACGCGUAGGUAACCUGCCUGGUAGCGGGGGAUAACUAUUGGAAACGAUAGCUAAUACCGCAUAACAGUAGAUGUUGCAUGACAACUAUUUGAAAGGGGCAAUUGCUCCACUACCAGAUGGACCUGCGUUGUAUUAGCUAGUUGGUGAGGUAACGGCUCACCAAGGCGACGAUACAUAGCCGACCUGAGAGGGUGAUCGGCCACACUGGGACUGAGACACGGCCCAGACUCCUACGGGAGGCAGCAGUAGGGAAUCUUCGGCAAUGGACGGAAGUCUGACCGAGCAACGCCGCGUGAGUGAAGAAGGGUUUCGGAUCGUAAAGCUCUGUUGUAAGAGAAGAACGAGUGUGAGAGUGGAAAGUUCACACUGUGACGGUAUCUUACCAGAAAGGGACGGCUAACUACGUG
rnacentral:rRNA from 1 species